UUUUUUGACCUCUUUUUAGUCGAUAAAAAUAGGUCUAGUUUCAUCUAUUUUCAUAUGUACACUUUAACGUGACUCACACUGUAUAUCAUUUCGUUAAAUAGUUUAUUUAGUGUUUUUCGCUAAUCGUAAAGGCAGUGCAUUUACUACGUACUCCCUGCUCAAUAAAUUAACAAUAUAAUAAGUUUAGAUGUAAAAUUAAGCAUAAUAUAGUUAUAUUAAAUUAAAACUGUGUUACGGCGAGUUUACAAGUGAUGGGUAUAACAUUGUGUUCGUGGUGUUUUAGGAGUUGUGCAGUUGACACGACAGUCAUUAUGUGUAACCGCCAUGUUUCAAUCACGUACCUAAAUACUUUGCUUUCCAAAAACAGGUUUUUAUUACAAUCAUGUAAACUCGUUGUUUUUAGGUAAUGUUAGACUUAUCAGUUGUUUGAGAUGUUGAUUAUAAUACGUUUAUCACAAAUAGUAUUUGUGUUAAGUUAGUUUCCGCUAAACAACACUAAAUCAAAAUGAGGAAACAGUAUGUAUUGAACGUAGCUAAGGCUGUAAUUAAUACAGAUUUCUUUGCCAGAACUUAGAGAAGAUUGUAAAUAAAUUCUUCUUUUGGUCGACUAAAUGCACUUAAAGAAUCCAUUAAAUGAUGUCUUCAAAAUUCAUGUGAAUCGAUCAAAACCGCGCAAUUACUAGCUAUGUAUAUUCUCAUUCAACGCACAGCGGUCGGACACAGUUAAUUUAUAUUUAGUGCACAUAUACAAUGAUAGGCUCACAUAGAUAGAUACCUACAUGUGUAUGUAUGCCAAUAUGACGCAUUUUACAAGUCGAAAUACCAACUUCCAAAUCCCUUUAACUAAUUUCAACUAAUUACAAUCCCAUUGCAAUAUUCAUAAGUCCCGUUGCUAUCAGUUUUAAAAUUAAUGGAACCUAAAAGUUUAAUUCUUACAUUCAAAUAACUCUUAGGAAAAUCCAUGUUAUAUGUAUAUUACUUAAUAAACUUUUAAAUCGAAUUUUAGCUUAUAAAUUUUGGCUGUGCGUUGAUAAAUCAGUCUGGCGGCCUAAAAAAAUAUAUACAUAUAUGUAGCUUUUAUAAAGCAUUUGCAACGACCAAAUUAGUGUCCCCGCGCAUCAGGCGGCCGGGCCGCGCGGCCAGGUCGCUGCGGCUAACAAAACAUGCAUAUGAAAUAGCAAUGCCAGAUUUUGUAUGGAAGGUGGGGCCUUUUUUUUCGCGCGGCCAUCGACCAAACCUUCUAACGCUCGUAACUCAGUUCUGACUGAGUUUAGAGAUGUACAACUGUACAUGUCAUAGUAAGUUUGGUUUAUUACACUAUUUUGUAAUAUAAAAACAAGGUUUGGUCGAUGGCCGCGCGAAAAAAAUAGGCGCCAAUUUCCGGCAUUGUCUUUUUGCCGCGCGGCCGCGAUAUGCGCGCACUCACAUACACCGCGGAAGAAGUAGUCGGCCGCAGCGACCAGAGCCCCGAUUACGGUAAUUUUUAACGUCAACAAUCCAGACACGCUUCUCGAUUCUGCGAUACGAUUGGUCGUUCAACAGCGUACGUCAGCUGUUUUGACCAAUCGUAUUGCAGAAUCAGAAACGCGUCUGGAUUGUAGACGUUAAAAGUUACCGUAAUCGGGGCUCUGGUCGCGCGGCCCGGCCGUCUAAUGUGCGUGGGCACUAAAGAUCUGAUGAACUGAUCUCAAGUUUCCUCCUCGACUCAAAAUUAGCUUGUUGUCUUGUAGGUAGAAUCUAGAGGGUGACAGUUUUGCUCUUAAUUGCAUUUCUGGAGUUGAAGAAAAAAUUUGCCUUUUGGUGUGAUCUCUCGGUCUGUCUAUAGAUUGGGAUAUUAUGUGAUUUGAGUAUGAAAUUUUAUACAUUCGUGUCUUCCUCAAUGUGAUAUAAAAGAUAUUUUUCUAUAUUUUUUGUAAGUAUGUAUUUUUUUAAACAAAAUUCGUGUGUGUUGCAAAUAUGUAAAAGUGGCAGCUCUAUCUAUCCUCUUAUGAAAUCUAAAGAUUACAACAUAUUAUAUGGUAUAAUGUCA